UACGGAGGAUGCAAGCGUUAUCCGGAUUCAUUGGGUUUAAAGGGUUCGCAGGCGGCGUAUUAAGUCAGUGGUGAAAGCUCCCGGCUCAACCGGGGAACUGCCAUUGAUACUGGUACGCUAGAGUAUAGUUGGCGUAGGCGGAAUAUUUCAUGUAGCGGUGAAAUGCUUAGAUAUGAAAUAGAACACCGAUCGCGAAGGCAGCUUACGAAGCUAUAACUGACGCUCAGGAACGAAAGCGUGGGGAGCAAACAGGAUUAGAUACCCUGGUAGUCCACGCUGUAAACGAUGAUUACUCGUUGUCGGCGAUAUACAGUCGGUGGCUAAGCGAAAGUGAUAAGUAAUCCACCUGGGGAGUACGAUCGCAAGGUUGAAACUCAAAGGAAUUGACGGGGGCCCGCACAAGCGGAGGAGCAUGUGGUUUAAUUCGAUGAUACGCGAGGAACCUUACCUGGGCUUAAAUGUAGAGUGCAUGAGGGGGAAACCUCUCUUUCCUUCGGGACUCUUUACAAGGUGCUGCAUGGUUGUCGUCAGCUCGUGCCGUGAGGUGUCGGGUUAAGUCCCAUAACGAGCGCAACCCCUACCUUUAGUUGCCAUCAGGUAAUGCUGGGGACUCUAGAGGAACUGCCUACGCAAGUAGUGAGGAAGGUGGGGAUGACGUCAAAUCAGCACGGCCCUUACGUCCAGGGCUACACACGUGCUACAAUGGUCGGUACAGAGGGCAGCUACCACGCGAGUGGAUGCAAAUCUCUAAAGCCGAUCUCAGUUCGGAUCGAAGUCUGAAACCCGACUUCGUGAAGUUGGAUUCGCUAGUAAUCGCGCAUCAGCCAUGGCGCGGUGAAUACGUUCCCGGGCCU
rnacentral:rRNA from 1 species